rnacentral:lncRNA from 1 species
UCAUGAAAGUUGAAGAGUAUCUACGAAUUCAAGUUUGUAUCCUCGAUUGAAGUGAACUUGAAAUUCUUUUUAUGAAAUUGAGGUUAGUUUAUUAAGCAAGGAACUAAAAUUCAUCCUUGAAUUUUAGAAUUAUGGAUUGUGUAUAUAGUAUAUACUAUGUAGUUGUACACUGUUUUAGUUUUGAUUUUGGUUUUCUAGGAUAUGAACUGAAAUUCAUCUUUGCUCAUUCUACUGUGAUGAAAUUCAGUUGGAAAGUUGAAUACCACUUCUUAUUACAUAUAAUCGAAUUAGAGGUUAUGUUAAAUUCCCAUUGUUGACGAUACCAGGAGCUUCAUCUUGAGUUGGGAAAACUAAACUAUGAGUUGAGUGAAAUAGCUUCUCUAAUUGUCAUUGGAGUUCUAAUUCAUUGUUUCUUAUAUAUAAUGGAAUGAUGAAUAAAAAAAAAUCUGAAAAACAGAGGAUCAAAAAUUUAGUGUUGAUUUUCGAAGGGAAAUGAUUAUUGAACGAUCUGAAAAACAGAGGGUCAAAAAUUUACUGUUGAUUUUUUAAGGGAAAUGAUUAUUGAACGAUCUGAAAAACAGAGGGUCAAAAAUUUAGUGUUGAUUUUCGAAGGGAAAUGAUUAUUGAACGAUCUGAAAAACAGAGGGUCAAAAAUUUAGUGUUGAUUUUCGAAGGGAAAUGAUUAUUGAACGAUCUGAAAAACAGAGGGUCAAAAACAUAAUCAAUUGAUAGCUUCUUAAACUUAGAGCUGAGAAUUCAUUAACAGCAUUUGUUUGAGAAUUGAUUAAUUGCUUCUGUUUCAUAAUUGGUUAAUGCUUCUGAAACUUGGAGUUGAGAAUUGAUUAAUAGCUUUUGAAAUUUACUUUUAAAAUGGUGCUUUGUAAGACUAUGAUUAGUUGAGUGAAAAUUCCUUUUUUCAGUUUAUCCGAAAGAAACUAUUAGUUUAGUGAUCAUUUGAGAAAUCUUCUCAAUCUAGCAUAUUCUACGCCAUCUUUUGACUAGUGUGAGAAACAUAUCUUCUUCAAUUAUUGUAGAAACUCAUCUUAUGGAUGUAAAAUGGAUACGCGGGUUCAAUAAAGAUGUAGUUUUUUCUUAUACUGUCAUACAUAUUCACAAAAUCAAACAAUAAAACAACCUAUAGAGCCUACAACCUGAAUAAGAUAAAAUGAUUUUUUUGUCUAGCAGUAACAAGAUAAAGUAGUGGAAAAUUUCAAUAGCAUAUAACAGUGAUCAUCGUUCUUGACAUUAUAUUUGUUGUUGAAAAUAAUUUAUCUUCCUAGUCUACCUUCAUUAUUUUUUAUUAAUACUAUUCUACUGACUUCUACAAUAGAGUGACUAUGACUAUCACUUAUAUUUGGUAUAUUUUUAUGUAUUAGUUUCUAUAUAUUACCAUGUUCUUUGUUUCACCUUCCCACUGUUCUAUUAAUGGUUACUGUUAUACAUCAUAUUCAUUCUUACGAAAUUUUAUGUAUCCUUUCUUUCGAAGUUUCUAAUAAUGAAAACUUUUGGAAAGAAUUAAGUCUGUUUUCGUUAUUUACUUGACUAGUGUAGUACACAUACAAGACUCCAUAUAUGUCAUAUCUCCAUAUUCUCUUAAUAAGGGUCUAUACGACUAACAACAACAAACAAAAUAUAUUUCGUAGUAAGAUAGUAACUACGGCUCCAGAGAAGUUCACCCUUUUCAUAGUAAGAUAGUAACUACGGCUCCAGAGAAGUUCACCCGCUAUUUGUUUACACAACUCUUAGUUACACUUAGAGAAAUUGAAUUUUUUUGAGAUAAUAUGAGGGGUAACACAACACACAUAUAUUCUCAUAUUGUGAUGAUUAUGAAUUUCAACUUUAAAUAAAUCUAGUUAGUUGAAUAACAUCUCAGAAUAUUCCAACAUUCUCAUAUUGUGAUGAUUAUGAAUUUCAACUAACACACAUAUAUCUUAUGUUGGAUAUUUACCGGUGGAACAAGUAUGAUUUUACUUCAACUUUUCUUCUUUAUCAUUUGUACUUAUUUCAAUAUUGAAUGAGUUUUAUAACAUAAGAAUACCAAUAUUUUAUUUGAAUGAGCGGAGGAAGAAGGUGUUGGUUGUAAAAGUGUGAAGUUUUAUACUUUUUCUGUAGCUCUAUGUAAUCUUCCUUUUUCUCUAUUCUGCUCAAUUUUUUCCCCUGUUGUGCUGUAUUUUUUCUUUGAUUUUUCUGUUUUUUCAGUAUUGGUUAUGAAUUUAUUUUUCUUGAAGUGAAACAUUAUAGUGCUAGACAGCAGUGUGUCCACUCACUAUGAGAUCUGAAAGGUGCAUUUCUCUUGAUAAUACAAUAAUUAUUUUAUCUGGUGAAGAAAAUAGACUCUAAAAUAUUUGAAUUACCAUUGCUCAUUUUCUUAUAAGAAUUAGACUUGAAUAUUUCAUUUGAUUUUAUUUCCUGAUUGUAUAUACAAAUGUGGUGUUGAUAUGUACAGGUUCAAGAUGAUAGUCCAUGUUUAUUCUUCACCAGUUACAAGGCAAAUGGUCCAAGUUGAGUGAAGUUGAUUAAUGUUACACGGUGAAUAGUCCAACCAGCCUCUUACACCAGAGUAUGAUAUGUUCGUGUAGACAAAUUAAUGCAAAAUAUGUUCAAUUUUCUGCUUAGUGCCACAAAAGUGUGUAUUUCCUAGACUGCCAGUUGAUCUAUUUUUUGGAUUCCAACUGAUAUAUUAGUUGACUCAGUUUGAAAUGUACUGUUGUUUGACUAGUACAACCAAUAUAUUAGAUAUAUAGUUGUAGAAUGUGGAGUUUAAAUUAUAUGAAUAUAUUAGAGGUAAGGUAUGUCCCCCUCGUUGAAUUUUGACAUGUUAAUGAAAUUUGCAUCAGGUUCUGUAAUGUUGGAAUCUUGAUGUAUUUUAUGAAAGUUUGAUGUUAGUGA